AACUUUGAUGAAAAGCAGGGAAGUUUGGGAAGAAAAUCCAAGACUUCUCUGGAGAGAGUCAUUUUUCACCUCCCAAGGAGUUCACAUCUAUGCACACGUUUCCAUCUUACAGACCAGGAAACAGGCUCAGAGAGAAGAAGGGAAUUAUGUACCUCGGUUUAGAGCCAAAGUGUCCUGCCUGCAUUCCAGCUGUUUCCAUCCAUGUCCAUGUCAACUGGCAUCUGGAACUACUCGUAGCAGCAUCCACUCAAUGUGAGUUGACUAAAUGGAGGAAAAUCUACUAUGGUGCUUGGAAAAACUGGGACUCUCAUGAUUUAGGAUAUAAAGAUUUGUCGUCUGUCUGAAUGGAAGAAAGAACAGGGCAGUGCUGUGGGGACACUAGGACGUCCUAAGGAAACACACUCACUAAUUUAGGGUAAUCAAUCAGGUAAUACUAUUUAUGGGCUAUUAAUGAUACAUGAGGAUCACACUCGGCCCAAGUUCUUUGCUUUGUUUCACUCUCUUGCUCUGACACCCUCUCCUAAGUUUCAAGGCUUUUCCCUCCCACCACCCCUCCCAGCCAUAUCACCACCACCAUAUUUUAAUUCCCCAUUUUUCUUUUUUUCUUUCUUUUUUUUUUUUUUUUUUUGAGACAGAGUCUUCCUCUGUCACCCAGGCUGGAGUGCAAUGGCACGAUCUUGGCUCACUGCAACCUCCGCCUCCUGGAUUCAAGUGAUUUUCCUGCCUCAGCCUCCUGAGUAGCAGGGAUUACCGGCACGCACCACCGAUACCAGCCUGGAAGACAACGGAGCUGUCAUUCUGUUAAAAAAUUAAGAGAAGUACGCAGAACCUGCCUUUUUCUAAAUGAGAAGCUUUGGAAGCGACUGGACACUUUUGGCCAUUGCAGUCCACAGGUAGCCUCUCUGGGGGCAAUAGACAGACUUUUUCACUUCUUGUAUUUACUCCCCAAAUGCUUGAUUACAUAGCUUGUCACCUGUCAGGGGGGCCAGCUAGCUAGUUGCUGGGUUGAGUGGUUAAUCCAAUGAUUUGUAUAGCUGGCUCACUAAGGAAAUCAUAGGUACUCAAUAUAUAGCUACUGAACAAUUCGAAGCAUCUCUGCUCACACCACGACUGAAUGGACACGUGAAUCUAGCACAUACAGUCGGAGGCCCGCAGAACCGGGAUGGUCAUGUAUCCCAGCCUAUGCCAGUUGUCCCAGCAUCAGUGUUACUAGCAUUAUCUUCCACUCUCAAAAGUGUUCCAGUUUGAACCCUAAAUGAUAUGGUCACCUCCACAGAACUGGAGCAGGGAGGGUCUUGGGUGUUCAUCUUUCCCACCAAUCUUAUCUCCUACAAGUGAGAUGGGUGUCCAGGGAGGAUCUGCCCAGGUUUAUGCUUUUGAUUUCCCCCUCCCUCUGCAGCCCUUCCCAUGCCCUCCUGUCUCCGUGAGGGAGGGAGGACCACCCGCGCAUCCUGCACGCCAGGCCCAUAUUGACGCCUGAUGCUUUUGCCUCCAUUCAGAUCUCGUCUUUCUGUGAACCUGAGGCUCAUUUCAAUUUUUCAAGGCAGGACCACAACAAGCUCUGCAUCUGCCUGCACACAAAGCCGAAAUCACAGUGCUUGGGUGGUGGGGACCCUUUUCCCUGAAAAAGAAGAAGUCAGAUCAUUUCUUAAGGUCUCUCCCAGCCUUAGAACCUGUGAUUCAUAAGAAACUGGCUGAAGCUUUUGGUUUGUCAAUAUACUCAUGAACCAAUUUAC
rnacentral:lncRNA from 1 species